rnacentral:lncRNA from 1 species
UUUAGCAUUACGUACUUAAAAUGGAACAGUUAUACUGAUCUACGGAACAUCUGAAGUGUUAAAUGGAACACCCAUAUAACUGCCAUAUCUAUAUGUCCACUUUUAUAUAGUAGGCUUUGCUUGUGCAGCUAUAGCUUAAAAUGGAACAGUUAUACAGCUCUCCGGAACAUCUGUAGGGCUAAAGGGCCCACCAAUAUACCUGCCACACCCAUAUGUCCACUUAUAAAUAAGCCUCCUACUUCACAUCCCUCCUCCUCUCGAAUACUAUUGUGCUAAUUCCUCAUCCCUAAUUAUUUUUUGCUCAUUCUUAUAACUAGACAUCUAUCAUGUCGACCCCGAACUCCACCCGACCAAGAUUCAACUACUGUUUUAUUCCAUUUUGCAAUAGAUACUUAGAUACU